rnacentral:rRNA from 1 species
GACGAACGCUGGCGGCGUGCUUAACACAUGCAAGUCGAACGGAAAGGCCCUGCUUUUGUGGGGUGCUCGAGUGGCGAACGGGUGAGUAACACGUGAGUAACCUGCCCUUGACUUUGGGAUAACUUCAGGAAACUGGGGCUAAUACCGGAUAGGAGCUCCUGCUGCAUGGUGGGGGUUGGAAAGUUUCGGCGGUUGGGGAUGCACUGGGUGCGUAUCAGCUGGUUGGCGGGGUAGUGGCUUACCAAGGCUUCGACGGGUAGCCGCCCUGAGAGGGUGACCGGCAAAAUUGCGACUGAGAUACGGCACAGACUCCUACGGGAGACAGCAGUGGGGAAUAUUGCACGAUGGGCGCAAGCCGGAUGCAGCAACGCCGCGUGCGGGAUGACGGCCUUCGGGUUGUAGGCCGCAUUGGCCUGUGACGAAGCGUGAGUGACGGUAAUGGGUAAAGAAGCACCGGCUAACUACGUG